rnacentral:miRNA from 1 species
UAUCACAGUGCUCCAACGGCGA